CACGUAGGGCGCAAGCGUUGUCCGGAAUUAUUGGGCGUAAAGAGCUCGUAGGUGGUUUGUUACGUCUGCUGUGAAAACCUAGGGCUUAACCCUGGGCUUGCAGUGGAUACGGGCAGACUAGAGGUAGGUAGGGGAGAAUGGAAUUCCUGGUGUAGCGGUGAAAUGCGCAGAUAUCAGGAGGAACACCGGUGGCGAAGGCGGCCACCUGGACGGUAACUGACGCUGAGACGCGAAAGCGUGGGGAGCAAACAGG
rnacentral:rRNA from 1 species